GAUGCGGGUGCUAUACAUGCAGUCGAACGCUUCUUUUUCCACCGGAGCUUGCUCCACCGGAAAAAGAGGAGUGGCGAACGGGUGAGUAACACGUGGGUAACCUGCCCAUCAGAAGGGGAUAACACUUGGAAACAGGUGCUAAUACCGUAUAACAAUCAAAACCGCAUGGUUUUGAUUUGAAAGGCGCUUUCGGGUGUCGCUGAUGGAUGGACCCGCGGUGCAUUAGCUAGUUGGUGAGGUAACGGCUCACCAAGGCCACGAUGCAUAGCCGACCUGAGAGGGUGAUCGGCCACAUUGGGACUGAGACACGGCCCAAACUCCUACGGGAGGCAGCAGUAGGGAAUCUUCGGCAAUGGACGAAAGUCUGACCGAGCAACGCCGCGUGAGUGAAGAAGGUUUUCGGAUCGUAAAACUCUGUUGUUAGAGAAGAACAAGGAUGAGAGUAACUGUUCAUCCCUUGACGGUAUCUAACCAGAAAGCCACGGCUAACUACGUGCCAGCAGCCGCGGUAAUACGUAGGUGGCAAGCGUUGUCCGGAUUUAUUGGGCGUAAAGCGAGCGCAGGCGGUUUCUUAAGUCUGAUGUGAAAGCCCCCGGCUCAACCGGGGAGGGUCAUUGGAAACUGGGAGACUUGAGUGCAGAAGAGGAGAGUGGAAUUCCAUGUGUAGCGGUGAAAUGCGUAGAUAUAUGGAGGAACACCAGUGGCGAAGGCGGCUCUCUGGUCUGUAACUGACGCUGAGGCUCGAAAGCGUGGGGAGCAAACAGGAUUAGAUACCCUGGUAGUCCACGCCGUAAACGAUGAGUGCUAAGUGUUGGAGGGUUUCCGCCCUUCAGUGCUGCAGCUAACGCAUUAAGCACUCCGCCUGGGGAGUACGACCGCAAGGUUGAAACUCAAAGGAAUUGACGGGGGCCCGCACAAGCGGUGGAGCAUGUGGUUUAAUUCGAAGCAACGCGAAGAACCUUACCAGGUCUUGACAUCCUUUGACCACUCUAGAGAUAGAGCUUCCCCUUCGGGGGCAAAGUGACAGGUGGUGCAUGGUUGUCGUCAGCUCGUGUCCUGAGAAGUUGGGUUAAAUCCCGCAACGAGGGCAACCCUUAUUGUUAGUUGCCACCAUUCAGUUGGGGACUCUUACAAGAAUGGCCGGUGACAAACCCGAGGAGAGGGGGG
rnacentral:rRNA from 1 species